GAUGAACGCUGGCGGCGUGCCUAAUACAUGCAAGUCGAGCGAACAGAUAAGGAGCUUGCUCCUUUGACGUUAGCGGCGGACGGGUGAGUUACACGUGGAUAACCUACCUAUAAGACUGGGAUAACUUCGGGAAACCGGAGCUAAUACCGGAUAACAUAUUGAACCGCAUGGUUCAAUAGUGAAAGGCGGCUUUGCUGUCACUUAUAGAUGGAUCCGCGCCGUAUUAGCUAGUUGGUAAGGUAACGGCUUACCAAGGCAACGAUACGUAGCCGACCUGAGAGGGUGAUCGGCCACACUGGAACUGAGACACGGUCCAGACUCCUACGGGAGGCAGCAGUAGGGAAUCUUCCGCAAAGGGCGAAAGCCUGACGGAGCAACGCCGCGUGAGUGAUGAAGGUCUUCGGAUCGUAAAACUCUGUUAUCAGGGAAGAACAAAUGUGUAAGUAACUGUGCACAUCUUGACGGUACUUGAUCAGAAAGCCACGGCUAACUACGUG
rnacentral:rRNA from 1 species